rnacentral:tRNA from 1 species
GCUUAAAUAGUUUAAUGAAAAUUCUAAUUUGUGGGUUUAGAGAUGUGGGCUCACUUUAAGUA